UACGAAGGGGGCUAGCGUUGCUCGGAAUUACUGGGCGUAAAGCGCACGUAGGCGGCUUGUUAAGUCGGGGGUGAAAUCCUGGAGCUCAACUCCAGAACUGCCUUUGAUACUGAAGAUCUUGAGUUCGGGAGAGGUGAGUGGAACUGCGAGUGUAGAGGUGAAAUUCGUAGAUAUUCGCAAGAACACCAGUGGCGAAGGCGACCACCUGGACUGAUACUGACACUGAGGUGCGAAAGCGUGGGGAGCAAACAGG
rnacentral:rRNA from 1 species